ensembl:lncRNA
GGGAACUGUCCACUCUUUGGAGAAUCUGUUGCAAGUUUUCUUCCCACACUUCUGCGCAGAGUGUGUAAUUAAAGAUCACUAUUUUGACGCCUCCCUGGACUCAGCCUGCUUUCUUCUCUUACCCAAAACGAACGAAUCUUAACAAUUCUUGGUGCCGAAACUCCGGCUGGGGAGGAGAGGAGCUGCGGCUGCUGCGUGGAAGGUGCCAAAACGAACGGAGAUCAGCAGCUUAUCUGAGUGACAAGCCAGGCGAAAUAAAAGGCUGGGAGCAAACAUUUUCCGAAGCGUUGAUCCAGACGUGUGAUCUUUGGAGUGUUUGAGCUUCCUUCCUGCGUGCUCAGGGUGGGGCGAGCAGAGACAAACGAUGCUGCAGAGGGAGGAAGAAGAGGAGAAGAUAAAGACCGAGGCUCUGAGAGGAAAUGCGAUCUCCCACCUGGGAGGGGUUUGGCUGGGAGCCGGAGAGAUGUGACGGUAGACGCUGAUAAGUUAAAGUUAUUAACUUACUGGCACAUCAGUAAAGUUCAACCGGACUCAAAAAGAAGCAAAAACGAAAUAAUUGUGAACCAAACAGUGUGUUAAACUCACUUUUACUGUCUGUGUGCAAACAGGCUGUAACGUCUGUGACUCGCUGCUGUUUUCACACAUGAUCUGCAUCCCUGACACAGACGUGUUGGGGAGACACGUGAUCCAGUGCAACGAUCACUGCAGUCUCCUUAUCUAUUUUGCCUGAUGUGUAAAAGCAGCACGUGUAUAAUUUAACCAGCGUUAUACUCUUAGCACCACCUUUUCCGUCCUUGCAUCUAUAAUGACUCUGAUGAACCUGCUAACUCACUCGCUUGCUAAAUGAACAGCUAAUGUAAUUUAGUUUAAUUUUAGUUUCAUAAUGAAGUUUUUAUUUGAACCAAGUGGCUAAUAAUCAAGUGAAGGUUGUAGCUGUUUGUGUGAAAUAUCUGUGAAAGAAAUGCAAACCCAGACUAAGCUUGCAGAAAUCCUUCAUCUUUGUUAAAGAAACUCGUCCGUUCGUGUUCUGUGUGACUUCAUCUCCGCGCUUCAAACGAAUUCACCUUUGUCUCGUCGAUGCUCCCGAGCACCUGCUGGCUGUGACCUCACACCUCGCACAUCAACAGGACGAGGUUAUUAUGUUGAGACAAAAUCAAAGCCCGGCGUAGCGCCUUUUACCUGCCAGGAGGGAUUAGGUGUGAUGUGUCUGCAGCUGCUGUGAGUCUGAGCUCUCAGUGGAUCAUCAGCCAUGAAGAAGAAAGAUCCAGAGUCAGAAGAGCCGCUGGCUCGCUGUGGUGUAAGUGGGUGGGAGUGCGUGGGAGGAUGUGGUGGAAACAAGAGAGGAUGUGUGUGGGACCACUGAGGAUAAUGUGUGUGUGUUGGUGAGAACAUUUAAGUGGAGCUCAUCUCCAUAAUGUGGAUUCAUUUUCUGUUUCGCCUUGGGCCUCACAAAGUUUUACAGCCAUGCUUUCGAUCUUUACACACAAACCUCUGUGAUCUCAGUCGUUGCUGGGAUUCAUAUUUUCAUGCAUACACCAUGAACUCACUGCUUCCCUGAGCUCCACGAGCGCUACUUUCAGCUCGUUUGUUCAGCUCAGUGUUCUCGCUGUUUUGGCCACAGGCAGCCGUGUCCAACGAUAAACCCAGGUACGCUACCUGUACAGCAGACGGACUAGCCUGUGGGAGCAUUAGCAGCUAAAGACUCGAGCUGGUGGUUAGAUAUGCUCACUCCUCCUGAACCAGCUACUGUGCGUCACAGCUGCUGUGAUGGAGAGCAUGAGUUAGCGUGAGUCAGGUCUGUCAGGUCUCAUAAACCUGUGAAGCACCCGCUGGCAUCACACACUGUUGGGAAGGAGAACAUUUUAACCCAAUUCCCGCCUCUUCCUAACCCUAACACGGACGUUUAUAAAGUCCGAUUCGAUCUGAAACCCAAGUAAUGAAUCCUCCAAUGAAAACAAAGCAAAGCGAGGAAAACGUGAAGGUUCAAAGGUCGACGUGAGGCAAACGUGCAAUCAGACGCUGACGUUACCUAAAGUCCUGGAGCAGGUCAGGAUCUGUGCUGCUGGCAGUCACAGCUGUAGCUCGGUGGUGUCUGAGCCGAUGAUGUCGCUGAGGCGUUUCCUCUGUCGGCCAUGUUUUUAUCGCCUCUUUCUAGAAUGAAACCAGAGAAGAAGUGGGAGAGCGGUCUUUGCUGAUCUCACAGCUCUCAGUUAAGUGUGCCCGUCACACGCGUGACACAUGAUCAUGUGAGGUAUUGAUUGACGUCGCAGCUGAGCCGAGGGCCGAGGCCGCACGCCGCCGAUUCCAUGUUUUAAUCCAGGAUGUGUGAAAAUGAUUAGAUCAGA